GACGUAGGGCGCGAGCGUUGUCCGGAUUUAUUGGGCGUAAAGAGCUCGUAGGCGGCUUGUCGCGUCGGUUGUGAAAGCCCGGGGCUUAACCCCGGGUCUGCAGUCGAUACGGGCAGGCUAGAGUUCGGUAGGGGAGACUGGAAUUCCUAGUGUAGGGGUGAAAUCCGUAGAUAUUAGGAGGAAUACCGGUGGCGAAAGCGACUGUCUGGCUGGUUACUGACGCUGUUGCACGAAAGCGUGGGGAGCAAACAGG
rnacentral:rRNA from 1 species